rnacentral:rRNA from 1 species
UACGUAGGGGGCAAGCGUUAUCCGGAUUUACUGGGUGUAAAGGGGGCGCAGACGGCGAUGCAAGCCAGGAGUGAAAGCCCGGGGCCCAACCCCGGGACUGCUCUUGGAACUGCGUGGCUGGAGUGCAGGAGGGGCAGGCGGAAUUCCUGGUGUAGCGGUGAAAUGCGUAGAUAUCAGGAGGAACACCGGUGGCGAAGGCGGCCUGCUGGACUGCAACUGACGUUGAGGCCCGAAAGCGUGGGGAGCAAGCAGG